GACGAACGCUGGCGGCGUGCUUAACACAUGCAAGUCGAACGCUGAAGCUUGGUGCUUGCACUGGGUGGAUGAGUGGCGAACGGGUGAGUAAUACGUGAGUAACCUGCCCUUGACUCUGGGAUAAGCCUGGGAAACUGGGUCUAAUACUGGAUACGACAUGUCACCGCAUGGUGGUGUGUGGAAAGGGUUUUACUGGUUUUGGAUGGGCUCGCGGCCUAUCAGCUUGUUGGUGGGGUAAUGGCUCACCAAGGCGACGACGGGUAGCCGGCCUGAGAGGGUGACCGGCCACACUGGGACUGAGACACGGCCCAGACUCCUACGGGAGGCAGCAGUGGGGAAUAUUGCACAAUGGGCGGAAGCCUGAUGCAGCGACGCCGCGUGAGGGAUGACGGCCUUCGGGUUGUAAACCUCUUUCAGCACGGAAGAAGCGAAAGUGACGGUACGUGCAGAAGAAGCGCCGGCUAACUACGUG
rnacentral:rRNA from 1 species